GACGUAAGAUGCGAGCGUUGUCCGGAUUUAUUGGGCGUAAAGAGUUCGUAGGUGGUUCGUUAAGUCUGGUGUAAAAGACUGGGGCUCAACCCUGGGAUCGCACUGGAUACUGGCGGACUUGAGUGUGGUAGAGGCAAGUGGAAUUCCCAGUGUAGCGGUGAAAUGCGUAGAUAUUGGGAAGAACACCGGUGGCGCAAGCGACUUGCUGGGCCAUAACUGACACUGAGGAACGAAAGCUAGGGGAGCGAAUGGG
rnacentral:rRNA from 1 species